UUUUGUUAAGUGAACGAUUUUGAAAAUCGAUCCAGAGAUAAAUCAAGAGUAUCUCAACAAAAA
rnacentral:tRNA from 1 species